rnacentral:rRNA from 1 species
GAUGAACGCUGACAGAAUGCUUAACACAUGCAAGUCUUUGGCGAAGCUGUGCUUGCACAGCCUAGCCAAGGCGGACGGGUGAGUAACGCGUAAGGGACUUGCCCUGCAGUCAGGGAUAACAGACGGAAACGACUGAUAAGACCUGGUAAAGUCAGGCGGACUCAUGUCCAGCCUGAUGAAAAGGAAUGCUGCAGGAGAGCCUUGCGUCCUAUUAGCUUGUUGGCGGGGUAACGGCCCACCAAGGCGAUGAUAGGUAGCCGGCCUGAGAGGGUGGACGGCCACAAGGGGACUGAGAUACGGCCCUUACUCCUACGGGAGGCAGCAGUGGGGAAUAUUGGACAAUGGGGGCAACCCUGAUCCAGCAAUUCUGUGUGCACGAUGAAGGUCUUCGGAUUGUAAAGUGCUUUCAGCAGGGAAGAAAAAAAUGACGGUACCUGCAGAAGAAGCGACGGCUAAAUACGUGCCAGCAGCCGCGGUAAUACGUAUGUCGCGAGCGUUAUCCGGAAUUAUUGGGCAUAAAGGGCAUCUAGGCGGCCGGAUAAGUCUGGGGUGAAAACUUGCGGCUCAACCGCAAGCCUGCCCUGGAAACUAUGCGGCUAGAGUACUGGAGAGGUGGACGGAACUGCACGAGUAGAGGUGAAAUUCGUAGAUAUGUGCAGGAAUGCCGAUGAUGAAGAUAGUUCCACUGGACGGUAACUGACGCUGAAUGCGAAAGCUAGGGGAGCAAACAUG